rfam:Clostridium sp. CAG:299 genomic scaffold, scf224
AAGCGUUGAAGCAUAACAGCGUACCGGGAUGCCUUGUUAUGCAGAGCUUUCAGUAGGGGUUGUGCAGUAACCUCAAACCGGAGUAGGCUGCAAAGCCGAAAGAAAAUGUUCAAA